rnacentral:tRNA from 6 species
GUCGAAGUGGCGGAAUCGGCAGACGCGCACGUUUGAGGGGCGUGUGGGGAAACCCGUGCGGGUUCAAGUCCCGCCUUCGACACCA